rnacentral:lncRNA from 1 species
AUAAUAUGGUUCCCCACAGGCUGUCAUUUGGGGAGUUCUUAUCAUUUGAGUAUGUAUCUUUUAAAAUGGAGCAGAAAUUAUCUCCCUCUAUACUUUUUAUUAUCCUCUACAAACCUCCCCAAUGCUGUCAAAAUUUUAUUGAUGAAUUUACUGAGAUGCUUUCAGUCGUCUUCACAGAGUUUGACUGUUUGGUUAUUACAGGUGAUUUCAAUGUUCACAUGGAUAAGGCCUGUGACAGAUAUGCUAAAGAACUUUCUGCCGUCCUUGAAAUGUAUGGCCUUAGCCAGCACGUCAGGGAGCCGACCCAUACCAGAGGUCACACUCUGGACCUUGUCAAUACUAAGGGUGUUGUUAACGCUUCUAAUAUCACUGUGAUUGAUGUUGCUUUGUCUGAUCAUUUUUGUGUCUUUUUUGAUUUGUUCAUAAUUCCCAAAGAUGCAACUGGACCUACACUUGUUCAGAAAAGACACAUAAAUGAUAACACCAGGAAAGUGUUUAUGGAGAUGAUUAGGUUUGAAAAUAUCACUUUCUCUCAUGUUGAAGAUUUGUUGACUUCAUAUACUUCAAGUGUUCUAAAUGUCAUAGAUGUGAUUGCUCCUGUUAAGGAUAAAUUAAUCAGGAACAGGCAUAAGCCACCGUGGAGAAAUGAUGUCUCCAUCAGGGCACAGAAAAGGGAGUGCCGGAAGGCCGAACGAAGAUGGCGUAAAUCAAAGCUCCAGGUUCAUUAUGACAUUUAUAAGCAGAUGCUGUGUGUGUUCAAUGAAACUCUACGUAGAAAGAGAGAAAUGUAUUUUUCUGAAAUCAUCAACAACAGCAGUAACAACUCACGUGUCCUGUUUGCUACAGUGAGUAGGUUGACAAACCCUCCAUCUCCAUUGCCACUGGAACUGAUUUCAACAUCUAAAUGUAAUGAAUUUGCAUUAUUUUUUAAUGACAAGAUUCAGGGUAUUAAACAAACAAUAAAUUGCACAAGGCAGAUACCAACUCUGCAGCCAUCCAGGAAACACUU